UACGGAGGGGGCUAGCGUUGUUCGGAAUUACUGGGCGUAAAGCGCGCGUAGGCGGACCUGCAAGUCGGGGGUGAAAGCCCGAGGCUCAACCUCGGAACUGCCUUCGAUACUGCGGGUCUCGAGUCCGGGAGAGGUGAGUGGAAUUCCUAGUGUAGAGGUGAAAUUCGUAGAUAUUAGGAAGAACACCAGUGGCGAAGGCGGCUCACUGGCCCGGUACUGACGCUGAGGCGCGAAGCGUGGGGAGCAAACAGG
rnacentral:rRNA from 1 species